rnacentral:rRNA from 1 species
UGAACGCUGGCGGCGUGCUUAACACAUGCAAGUCGAACGAGAAAGGGAUUGCUUGCAAUCCUGAGUAGAGUGGCGCACGGGUGAGUAACACGUAGAUAAUCUACCUCCAAGCCCGGGAUAACUAUCCGAAAGGGUAGCUAAUACCGGAUGAAGUGUUUUGACAUAGGUUGAACCAUGAAAGAUUGCCUCUUCUUGAAAGCAAUUGUUUGGAGAUGAGUUUGCGGACCAUUAGUUUGUUGGUGGGGUAACGGCCCACCAAGACUACGAUGGUUAGCUGGUCUGAGAGGAUGAUCAGCCACACUGGAACUGGUACACGGUCCAGACUCCUACGGGAGGCAGCAGUGAGGAAUUUUGCGCAAUGGGGGAAACCCUGACGCAGCAACGCCGCGUGAGUGAAGAAGGCCCUUGGGUCGUAAAGCUCUGUCGACAGGGAAGAAGUUAACAUCAUCCAAUAGGUGUUGUUAUUGACGGUACCUGUAGAGGAAGCACCGGCUAACUCC